rnacentral:rRNA from 1 species
GAUGAACGCUGGCGGCGUGCCUAAUACAUGCAAGUCGAGCGAACAGACGAGGAGCUUGCUCCUCUGACGUUAGCGGCGGACGGGUGAGUAACACGUGGAUAACCUACCUAUAAGACUGGGAUAACUUCGGGAAACCGGAGCUAAUACCGGAUAAUAUAUUGAACCGCAUGGUUCAAUAGUGAAAGACGGUUUUGCUGUCACUUAUAGAUGGAUCCGCGCCGCAUUAGCUAGUUGGUAAGGUAACGGCUUACCAAGGCAACGAUGCGUAGCCGACCUGAGAGAGGGGGAGCGCAGACGAGAAGAGGAACAAGGGAGAGGCGACUGAGGGAGGGAGACGUGGGGAAUGUGAGGCAAAGGUAGAGAGAAUGAAAGAGGCAGGGAGAGGGAGAGAAAAAGGGGUGGGGUUCGUAAGAACGUGUUACUGGGGGAAAAAAAAUGUGGCAGGAAAUAUGACGGGAGUGACGGGAAUGAGUAAAAAAGCAAAGGCUAACUACGUG